ACCAGCAUGGCUGAGUGGUUAAGGUGUUGGACUUAAGAUCCAACAGGCACCAGCUCACAUGGGUUCAAACCCCACCCCCGGUA
rnacentral:tRNA from 1 species